GGUUUGUACUCGCUUUUAUUAAAUGCUCUGUCAAAUUAAAAAUUAUAUUUAAACUUUAGUUAUUUAGUUCAUUGUUUCAAGCAUUAUUUAUUUCAUUUGGUUCUUCAAUUAAAUAAAUUGAACUAAAUUCAAAUCUCCUUUUGUCUGUUACAGGUCCUGCGACAUUGACAGUCAUCAUAUUAGUUGGUUUAUUAUUAGUAAUAUGUGCUUUGCUUGUGAUCAUUGGCAUCAGGACGAAGGCUGCUCACUGCUCCUCACCUAAGAGGCAGAGCACCGGAGGCACCAGCUCAGCUGCUCUCAGCCACUUUGAGUCAAGCACAGAAGCAAAUGAGCUAAACAUCACAGAAGAGGAGGCAGUUUAUAUGAACAUCAUCCAGAUCAGACAAGCAGACGUUCUCCUUCCUACAAGUGGUGGAGACGGGGCUGUGAUUUACUCCACUGUGAUGCUGUGAGGCGACUCUACAGACCUGCGUCUGACCAGCAGCUCACACGCACUGGGAACGGAUGCAGAAACUGAACCAUGAACGGUGGAAAACAAAGUAGAAAGUGAAUAUUCUCAAUUUAAAGCCAUGAGUACUGUGAUCCUUCAUCUUUAAUUACUUUGAGGUGAGGUAGACUUUCCUUGCUGAAAGUACAACUUCUAAUUGUUUUCUUGUCAAAUCUCUGGACAAAAUAAAAUGUAAACCAUAAACA
ensembl:lncRNA